rnacentral:rRNA from 1 species
AGAGGUUACUGCUAUCGGGGUUCGAUUAAGCCAUGCAAGUUAAAUGUUUUUCGUAAACAUAGCGAACUGCUCAGUAACACGUGGAUAACUUAACCUUAGGUCCGGCAUAACCCCGGGAAACUGGGGAUAAUUCCGGAUGUAUCAAGGAUGCUGGAAUGCCCUUUGGUUCAAAGCUUUUGUGCCUAAGGAUAGGUCUGCGGUCUAUCAGGUUGUAGUGGGUGUAACGUACCUACUAGCCGACGACGGAUACGGGUUGUGAGAGCAAGAGCCCGGAGAUGGAUUCUGAGACAAGAAUCCAGGCCCUACGGGGUGCAGCAGGCGCGAACACUUUACAAUGCGGGAAACCGCGAUAAGGGAACCCCGAGUGCCAGUACUAAGUGCUGGCUGUCUAGAUGAAUAGAUAUCAUUUAAUAGCAAGGGCCGGGCAAGACCGGUGCCAGCCGCCGCGGUAACACCGGCGGCCCGAGUGGUAACCGAUAUUAUUGGGUCUAAAGGGUCCGUAGCCUGUUUAAUAAGUCCUUUGGGAAAUCUGGCAGCUUAACUGUCAGGCUGCUAAAGGAUACUGUUAAACUUGGGACCGGUAGACGUAGGGGGUACUCCAGGGGUAGGAGUGAAAUCUUGUAAUCCCUGGGGGACCAUCUGUGGCGAAGGCGCCCUACGAGAACGGGUCCGACGGUGAGGGACGAAAGCUAGGGGAGCAAACCGGAUUAGAUACCCGGGUAGUCCUAGCUGUAAACGAUGCUCGCUAGGUGUCAGCACGGUGCGUCCGUGUCUGGUGCCGCAGGGAAGCCGUUAAGCGAGCCACCUGGGGAGUACGGUCGCAAGGCUGAAACUUAAAGGAAUUGGCGGGGGAGCACUACAACGGG